AUGUGUUACACUAGAAGAGAUCCAUGCUCAUUUUCACUCAAUACUGAUCCAAGGAUGGUGUUAUUUUGCUUGUGAUGAAGAGUUGAUAUUUAGUCAUAUCAAUAUUCGCACCCGAAAAGAAGAUAUGAAUUUUACUAUUGCCAAUAAUCUUUCAGUGAAGGUUUCUUUCUCUCAACGACCAGAAAUUGUUAUUGAUGAUACUAUAUCAUCUAUAGAAGAUAUAAAAAUGUAUAUGGAAACUCUGCAAGCCACUAUUUUAUGUGAAGGAACUGACAUACACUAUAGGUAUGAUAUAUUUUCUUUCAUUUCUUUUAAUAUAAAUUAAAAUCUCAUACUAUUACACAUUAGGUGAAAAUUGAAAAUAAACUUAAAGAUUCACCUAAAUUGAGGCUCCAUCUAGAACGUGACACCUGAAGUAAAAGCAAGCAUCAAUUACAUCUUUUAGUAGUAGUGUGAAAAGAAAGAGAGUAUCUACAUUACCUUUGAAAAAUUCCAAAUCAUCUUG
rnacentral:misc_RNA from 1 species